rnacentral:rRNA from 1 species
GAUGAACGCUGGCGGCGUGCCUAAUACAUGCAAGUCGAGCGAACGGACGAGAAGCUUGCUUCUCUGAUGUUAGCGGCGGACGGGUGAGUAACACGUGGAUAACCUACCUAUAAGACUGGGAUAACUUCGGGAAACCGUAGCUAAUACCGGAUAAUAUUUUGAACCGCAUGGUUCAAAAGUUAAAGACGGUCUUGCUGUCACUUAUAGAUGGAUCCGCGCUGCAUUAGCUAGUUGGUAAGGUAACGGCUUACCAAGGCAACGAUGCAUAGCCGACCUGAGAGGGUGACCGGCCACACUGGAACUGAGACACGGUCCAGACUCCUACGGGAGGCAGCAGUAGGGAAUCUUCCGCAAUGGGCGAAAGCCUGACGGAGCAACGCCGCGUGAGUGAUGAAGGUCUUCGGAUCGUAAAACUCUGUUAUUAGGGAAGAACAUAUGUGUAAGUAACUGUGCACAUCUUGACGGUACCUAAUCAGAAAGCCACGGCUAACUACGUG